UGGGGAAUUUUGGACAAUGGGCGCAAGCCUGAUCCAGCCAUGCCGCGUGCAGGAUGAAGGCCUUCGGGUUGUAAACUGCUUUUGUACGGAACGAAAAGCUUCUGGUUAAUACCUGGGAGUCAUGACGGUACCGUAAGAAUAAGCACCGGCUAACUACGUGCCAGCAGCCGCGGUAAUACGUAGGGUGCGAGCGUUAAUCGGAAUUACUGGGCGUAAGGCGUGCGCAGGCGGUUAUGUAAGACAGAGGUGAAAUCCCCGGGCUCAACCUGGGAACUGCCUUUGUGGCUGCAUGGCUAGAGUGCGGCAGAGGGGGAUGGAAUUCCGCGUGUAGCAGUGAAAUGCGUAGAUAUGCGGAGGAACACCGAUGGCGAAGGCAAUCCCCUGGGCCUGCACUGACGCUCAUGCACGAAAGCGUGGGGAGCAAACA
rnacentral:rRNA from 1 species